rnacentral:rRNA from 1 species
AACGAACGCUGGCGGCAUGCCUAACACAUGCAAGUCGAACGAGACCUUCGGGUCUAGUGGCGCACGGGUGCGUAACGCGUGGGAACCUGCCCUUAGGUUCGGAAUAACUCCCCGAAAGGGGUGCUAAUACCGGAUAAUGUCUUCGGACCAAAGAUUUAUCGCCUUUGGAUGGGCCCGCGUUGGAUUAGCUAGUUGGUAGGGUAAAAGCCUACCAAGGCGCCGAUCCAUAGCUGGCCAGAGAGGAUGCUCAGCCACACUGGGACUCAGACGCGGCCCAGACUCCUACGGGAGGCAGCAGUGGGGAAUAUUGCACAAUGGGCGAAAGCCUGAUCCAGCAAUGCCGCGUGAGUGAUGAAGGCCUUAGGGUUGUAAAGCUCUUUUACCCGGGAUGAUAAUGACAGUACCGGGAGAAUAAGCUCCGGCUAACUCCGUG